rnacentral:rRNA from 1 species
GGUUAGUAGAGAAGUUGGUGAGAGAGUAAGAUCAUUAUGAGGGUUGUAGUUGGAGUGAGUGCAGGUUUGUAAGUUUGGGUCUUGUUGUGGUUGAAUGUUUCUAGAGAUGGUGGAGUAUGGUUUUUAGAGAGAAGGGGUUGGAUUUUGUACUUUUUGUAUCAUGGGUCAUAGAGAGUAGGGUUAGUUAGUUUUUCCUGAAGGGCUUUGAUCUAUCUUGAUUGUUUGCGGGGUUGCUUUUGAGGCUGCUCUAAUUGCGGUGUGAUGUUGCAGUAUCACGGGUAAGGUCUUGAUAGAUGGUGAAAUGCUUGUCGUAAGGUCUGAUAGCUGGUUAGGUAGGAAGUGCACAUCAGUGCAGCGUGGGGCUAUGUGGUUUUGGGAUUUUUUAUAAGAACCAAGGCUUUUGUCUUAUUGUGAGGUUUUAGGGGAAAGCUCUAAGACGAGGUAAAGUGAGGUCGUAUAGUAGGUAGAGUUGGAAUUGCUCAUUCUAUGUUGAAUUUUUGUCUAAAGUGGUUUUGACAGGGUGUUUGAGGUUGUUACUACCUUGAUAGGGUGAAUUUUAGUUUAUGUAACUAGUAUGAUAUUAGUAGGUUCUGGUUAGUUUUGUGCUGUGGUGCACUGGUUGACGUGAUUUGGUAGUGUCGUAGUUUUCCUUUUUAGGGGGGAGUUUGAUUAUGAUUUAAUGUUUUUUGAGAGGAAAGCAUAGAGGUCGGGUGGAUUAGGUAUAUACCUAUGAAGUUGGGCUUUAGCGAGGUGUAGAAGUUGAGUAGAAAGUGGGAUUAAGGAAUUCGGCAAUUUUUCCUCUCGCCUGUUUAUUAAAAACAUGGCUCCUAGAUUUUUAUAGUAGUAGGGGUCGUACCUGCCCGGUGAGCGAGUUUUUAAACGGUUGCUGUGAAUAAUAGUACUAAGGUAGCGCAAUUGAUUGUCCUUUAAUUGGGGAAGGGAAUGAAUGGUUUGACGUGGAGGAGACUGUCUCGGUCUCACGUGUUGAAUUUUACUUUCGGGUGAAAAGGCUCGGAUUUGUUUAGUAGACGAGAAGACCCCGUCGAGCUUGGUGAGGGUCAGUAAAGGUAAGCUUGGCUUGAUGUUUUGUUGGGAAGACAGGAGGCAAAAUUAACGCAUCUGUGGGUAUAUGAAGAUCCUGUAGUAUGGAUAAGAAGAAAAAGUUACCGCGGGGAUAACAGCGUAAUGUUUUCGGAGAGAUCAUAUCGAUGAAAAAAUGUUGCGACCUCGAUGUUGAAUUAGGGUAUCAUCCCGGCGCAGCAGUUGGGAUUGUAGGUCUGUUCGCCCUUUAAAACCCUACAUGAUUUGAGUUUAGACCGGCGUGAGCUAGGUCGGUUUCUAUCUUUAUUUGAGGUUUUCUUUGUACGAAAGGAUCGGAAAACCGG